GUGAGGAAUAUUGCGCAAUGGAGGCAACUCUGACGCAGCCAUGCCGCGUGCAGGAAGAAGGCGCUACGCGUUGUAAACUGCUUUUAACCGGGAAGAAACCCCAGGACGUGUCCUGGGUUGACGGUACCGGAGGAAUAAGCACCGGCUAACUUCGUGCCAGCAGCCGCGGUAAUACGAAGGGUGCAAGCGUUAUCCGGAUGCAUUGGGUUUAAAGGGUGCGUAGGCGGAGCGUUAAGUCAGUGGUGAAAUCCUGCAGCUUAACUGUAGACUUGCCAUUGAUACUGGCGCUCUUGAGUGCGCUUGAAGUGGGCGGAAUGUGCCGUGUAGCGGUGAAAUGCUUAGAUAUGGCACAGAACACCAAUUGCGAAGGCAGCUCACUAAGGCGAUACUGACGCUGAGGCACGAAAGCGUGGGGAUCGAACAGGAUUAGAAACCCGGGUAGUCC
rnacentral:rRNA from 1 species